rnacentral:misc_RNA from 1 species
UUUUUUCUUUUUUUUUUUUAAUUCAUUAGCAGUCUAUGAGGUCAUUUUUAUUUUAGUCAUUAAAUUUCAAUUUAUAUAAUCGUUGAACUUUAUUAAAAAUUGCAAUAACAGUAAAGUUGAUGUGGAAUCUACACUAUCAUCAAUGCGCAGGAUAAUACACAUUGGCAGAGCCUAAAAGCUCUAGGGCAAAACAGAGAACCAUGUGGACGGCAUCACGGAUACCGCAAUCAUAUUUUCUGGGAACUAAUAAGAGUCUCUAUUGAUGUCCAAGCAUAGACAUUUGGCUAGGGGAAACAAUAAACCAAAAUAUGAAAAGACACAUUCAGUUCUAUAUUUUCAAGAUACCGACUCGCAGAGUACUUUCGUUUUGCUUCAAAAUCUGCGAGAUGGGAAAAGGUAUACGGAGAAUUAUGAGAUCAAUCUAAACCCAUCUUUAUUACUCUGAAUACAUCUGGCUCAUACAAAUGAACCAUCAACCAAAUAUGAAAUACGAAAACUGAAACUGCCUCUACAAAAUAGUUUACAAUCGCCAAUACAGGAGGACAAAACUUUUCAGGAUCUAUUUUCCUGUAAUACAACUAUCUUGGUAUUGGUAUCAAAAGGCCAUCAUUGUCCCCCGGGAAAUUCAGUGCUUUGAGAACAUGCCUUGUGUUAAAGAUGAGAAAUCAUAUUCCUUUCCAGAUUGUGAUGAAUUCCCUGAUGAAACUGGAGCUCCCGCUUGAGGUUUAUUAACUCCAGCUGUUAUCCCACCAUUAACAGGGGUAACCUGCCCCAUGGGAUAAAAGCUAGAUGCUGGGUAUGGUACAGAGCUUCCUGCUAGAUUAGUGAGUCCAGCGUUACCGGUCUGCAUAAGUUUUCGUGAGUCACCCUGCCCCGCUACUGGCAUCACUAAUCCGGGAAUUUGGUAUCCAACAUUUGGCCAAUUUUGAGCAGGCGAGUUAACACCAUUGGAUCCAGGCUGUUGAAUACUGCCAGGAAAUUUUGGGUCUGCACCACCUGAUUUUGCUGCAGCAGCAAUGAGAAGGGACUGUUGCUGUGCUAGCAUAGCAAGCUGCUGUUGAUGCAUUGCGAAUGGGGACACCAUAUUGGACUUCUCAAAAAGGCUCAUAAUAUCAUUUUUUAAAUCUUUCUGUGGUUUCUCUGUCACUGAAGUUUUUGUCAUGGAAGGUGUAUCUUUAAAUAAAUCCUCCAUUCCAGAAGUGGAGUUGGUAUUAUUCUCUGCUACUUUGGUUGGAGCAGUUUUGUCUGUUGUUGGUUCUUCUUCAGCAGCUGCAGCUGUUAAUGGCUCAGAGUCAAACUAGAUAGCUAUAAUAGAACUUGAUAACAUAAAGCCAAGUGUAUUUCUAACAGAAACUAGACCAUGCUACUAGAAUUUUAAAAGGGGAAAAGAGAACAAAUGAAAGAAAAAUAAAAAUAAGCAAAAACAGCAUGGAUGAUCCUGUCAGGCGGAACAUUUGCAAAGUGAAGACUUACAUUGAAAACCUGCCCAUCCAUUAUCAUCACUGGAAGCUGCCUCUGAGCAAUUUUCACUUGUACCAUCCACAGAUAACAUGUUGAAAAGGUCAGUAGCAUAAUCAAUUUUAGGCGCAGGAGUAGCAGUUGCAACAUUCUUUGUUAGUUCACCUGGCUCCGCUUUAGAUUCAAUUUUCUGAAUAACCUGUUGGGGCUUUGGAGGAGUGACCUGUUCAGGUCCCUUGGGAGGAAAGGGAAUGCUAAUUCUUGAAACAGGAACACUGUCUUUUGAACUUUGUGGUUGAGCAUUCUUUCUUUCAUCAAACAUAUUCUCUGAACUGCUGGCACGCUGAUGCCCACUUCUUUCACUGGGUCUCUGCCAAUGACCAGGAGAUCUUUCAUCAUGCCCUUUGGGAGGGGAUUUUGCUUUUCCAUCUAUGGGGAGCCAUCUCUUCUCUUCAUACUUUGCACGAAUGAAAUUCUCUAUUCCAACUCUAUCAUAGUUGGGGGGCAGCUCCGCUUCCCAGUGACUAUUUGCCUUCUCAUUUCCCAUUGAUUGAAUAAAUGCAACCUGCUCUGGAAGCCAUGUGUCAAGGGUUGCAGAUCGAACCUGCAGCAAAAACAAGUAAAGACACUUGGAUGCCAGGUUUAAAUUUUAAUAACAAAACAAUGAUACAAUAUGCCAUAAGUGCUCAAAUGGCAUGUAGGCCAACAAUGAUCAUCUGAACAAGAACGGUUACAAUACAAUUUAUGUUGAAUGAAUUCUGCAGUGAGAUGAGAUAAAUUUAUAUGUGAAACUAUUUUUCUAUAGAAGAUGAUGAAUAAAAAAUCAUCUAUAAACUAUGAUUCAAACAAUGUGAAAAAGUAAAAUUCACUUAAUUGACAGCAUCAUAAAUUCAUAAUUAUUGUUCCUGUUCCAUGUACAAUUAAUCAUCUAUCCAUUCCCCCCACCUUACAAUUCCUUUUUAGGCAUUCUCUCAUAAAAUCAGAAGAAUAAAGAAAAGCAGCAGUUCAGUUGAUUCUGCAAAAAAUCGAGAUGUCCAUGUUAAUUAGGUUUCCCAUAAUUAAUGUCCACAUGCUAUUGUUCCACAAUAGAGCUUACUGCAUUUACCAUCAUAAGUCCACAGAUAAUAAUUCAAUGGAAGUUAAGGGACAGCUCAUCCUUUCCAUUUCGUUCUCCAAUAAUUAAGUGAAUCAUCAAGUUUAUUGGACAAUGAAACAUCACCUUCGAUAUGUGCACCCCAAGACUUCUGUGGAUCCCUGAACAUUGCAUGCAUAUAAAGAUACCUAAAUUUACACUUGCCCAUCUUGGACCUUUGGCUUUGCAGUCAGCACAUUCUCUAUUCUCAGGCAAUUUAAGGAGACCUUCCAAUAUCUUUCUGUGCUUGGCAUUAAGCUCUUUAGAGACGUUGGCCUUCUCGUUCAUGGCGACAGUACCAACCAAACCUAGAAUCGGCAAAUUGAGAGACAGAAGAAACAAACAAGAAGCAGAAACAGCAAGAACGGAGAGAUUGAGGUCAAUUUCGUCUUUUUAUCUGUCUCUCCCCUCUUCUCUGUGUUCUUUAUUGUCUCUCUCUUUUCCCUCUCUCUGAUUACCAUGCGAAAAAGGAAAGAGAGAAAAGAAAAGAGAGAUCGCAAACAGUGUGUGCUCGCCCCUUGACUUUUAAAUUUGAUUGUUUCAUUUUCUUUGGCUUUUUUGGGGUUUUUAUUUUUCUUUGUUUGCACGUGCCAAUGUGAGGUGAGGCUGCGUUGUGGGAUUGGUACGUGUUGGUUGGGGGGGGAGGUGUUAGGUUAGCAGAAGAAAAACGACUGCGUUUUGAACCCACAGAUACUAAACGAUGUGGAGAGCCAAACGGUGAUACCUGCAGAAUCAUGCUUCUGAUCUUACAAAUUUGCAGACAAGGCGACGACUGUGACUAUAUACAGAUAAAUUGAGUAUAAUUGGUCAUCUUACGGACAGUGGUACCAUGGAAAAUGUAACUGGCUCACAGUCUAAACCUCAAUGGCAGCAAAGGGGAAAUGAAGAGAAGAAGGCAGCAGUUCAUGAAGAAAUGAAGAGAAUGAACCAACUUCCUGUAAACAGCACUUAUGCUACCCAUCGCCUGCGAGUUCUCAACAAAAUUCUGCAACUUUUAUCCAUUCAGAGGACUGUCUCACAGGAAGAGGAAUUGGAGUUGCUUUUUGCUGGGCUGCAUCUGUGAAAUUGUCUGUGCAAUUGCAGGUGACCCGUGCAAUUUUUUCUUGUAAUCAGGUUAAAUUUGUAACUACUAUGUAUGUUGUGUCUUUAAACUUUGAGCAUCGAUUGCUAUGGCUUUAGGUAUAGCUCCUAGUUAUGUUAGACUACAUUGUAAGUUACAGAGUUCCAAGUUCUGUGAUGAUGACAAAUUGUUUUUACUUACAUCAUGUAUAUAGUUUUUUUGUUUCUGUUGUUGGGACUGUAAAAAAUGAAUUUGUAAAACUUUUAUAUGUGCCACGGGAGUU